CCAGGGUUAUGGAUCACAAUUUCCAAUUCAGGGUAAUCUGCUUUGAACCCACAAGCAUAAGAGUCCCAACCAUUGCUACCAUACAUGGUCUGAACGGGAAACACACCCCAAUCACUCUUCUCAGUGGUUGGCACCACAGACACGUUCAGCUUCUCCUCCUGUGCGCAGGUUCGGGCGGCGCUGAACGUUAAGGAGUAGAAUUUCCCCUUCUCUAGCUGGAUCUUCUGCUUGAUGGAAGCUUCAUUGCCAAGCCUA
rnacentral:lncRNA from 1 species